rnacentral:rRNA from 1 species
UACGUGGGGUGCAAGCGCUAAUCGGAAUUACUGGGCGUAAAGCGUGCGCAGGCGGUUGUGCAAGACCGAUGUGAAAUCCCCGGGCUUAACCUGGGAAUGGCAUUGGUGACUGCACGGCUAGAGUGUGUCAGAGGGGGGUAGAAUUCCACGUGUAGCAGUGAAAUGCGUAGAGAUGUGGAGGAAUACCAAUGGCGAAGGCAGCCCCCUGGGAUAAUAUUGACGCUCAUGCACGAAAGCGUGGGGAGCAAACAGG